CAUGUCUAAGUAUAAGCACUCAUACUGCGAAACUGCGAAUGGCUCAUUAAAUCAGUUAUCGUUUAUUUGAUAGUACCUUUACCUGGAUAACCGUGGUAAUUCUAGAGCUAAUACAUGCUAAAAAUCCCGACUUCGGAAGGGAUGUAUUUAUUAGAUAAAAAACCAAUGCCCUUCGGGGCUCCUUGGUGAUUCAUAAUAACUUAACGAAUCGCAUGGCCUUGCGCCGGCGAUGGUUCAUUCAAAUUUCUGCCCUAUCAACUUUCGAUGGUAGGAUAGUGGCCUACCAUGGUCUCAACGGGUAACGGGGAAUUAGGGUUCGAUUCCGGAGAGGGAGCCUGAGAAACGGCUACCACAUCCAAGGAAGGCAGCAGGCGCGCAAAUUACCCAAUCCCGAUACGGGGAGGUAGUGACAAUAAAUACUGAUACAGGGCUCUUUUGGGUCUUGUAAUUGGAAUGAGUACAAUCUAAAUCCCUUAACGAGGAACAAUUGGAGGGCAAGUCUGGUGCCAGCAGCCGCGGUAAUUCCAGCUCCAAUAGCGUAUAUUAAAGUUGUUGCCGUUAAAAAGCUCGUAGUUGAACCUUGGGCCUGGCUGAUCUGUCCUCCUAAUCGAGCGCACGGAUUCGGUCGGGCCUUUCCUUCUGGGGAGCCGCAUGCCCUUCACUGGGCGUGUCGGGGAACCAGGACUUUUACCUUGAAAAAAUUAGAGUGUUCAAAGCAGGCCUUUGCUCGAAUACAUUAGCAUGGAAUAAUAGAAUAGGACAGAGGUUCUAUUUUGUUGGUUUCUAGGACCGCUGUAAUGAUUAAUAGGGAUAGUCGGGGGCGUCCGUAUUCAAUUGUCAGAGGUGAAAUUCUUGGAUUUAUUGAAGACGAACUACUGCGAAAGCAUUCGCCAAGGAUGUUUUCAUUAAUCAGUGAACGAAAGUUAGGGGAUCGAAGACGAUCAGAUACCGUCGUAGUCUUAACCAUAAACUAUGCCGACUAGGGAUCGGACGGUGGUUUUUUUAUGCCCCGUUCGGCACCUUACGAGAAAUCAAAGUGUUUGGGCUCGGGGGGAG
rnacentral:rRNA from 1 species